CAAAGGGAUGCUCAGUACGGCGAGUGAAGCGGCAAGAGCUCAAAUUUGAAAGCUGGCCCCUCCGGGGUCCGCAUUGUAAUUUGCAGAGGAUGCUUCGGGCUCAGCCCCCGUCUAAGUGCCCUGGAACGGGCCGUCGGAGAGGGUGAGAAUCCCGUCUGGGACGGGGUGCCUGGGUCCAUGUGAAGCUCCUUCGACGAGUCGAGUUGUUUGGGAAUGCAGCUCUAAAUGGGUGGUAAAUUUCAUCUAAAGCUAAAUACUGGCCGGAGACCGAUAGCGCACAAGUAGAGUGAUCGAAAGAUGAAAAGCACUUUGAAAAGAGAGUUAAACAGCACGUGAAAUUGUUGAAAGGGAAGCGCUUGCGAUCAGACUCGCCUGCGGGGUUCAGCCGGCAUUCGUGCCGGUGUACUUCCCCGUGGGCGGGCCAGCGUCGGUUCGGGUGGCCGGUCAAAGGCCCCGGGAAUGUGUCGCCCUCCGGGGCGUCUUAUAGCCCGGGGUGCCAUGCGGCCUACCUGGACCGAGGAACGCGCUUCGGCUCGGACGCUGGCGUAAUGGUCGUAAGCGACCCGUCUAA
rnacentral:rRNA from 1 species